ACACAUGCAAGUCGAGGGGCAGCGCGGGAUAGCAAUAUCCUGGCGGCGACCGGCGGAAGGGUGCGUAACGCGUGAGCGACAUGCCCGUUGCCCGGGGACAACCGGUGGAAACGCCGACUAAUCCCCGAUGGGAUACGAUGCUUCAUGGCAUUGUAUUGAAAGUUACGGCGGCGACGGAUUGGCUCGCGUCCGAUUAGCUUGUUGGCGGGGUAACGGCCCACCAAGGCUACGAUCGGUAGGGGUUCUGAGAGGAAGGCCCCCCACAAUGGGACUGAGACACGGCCCAUACUCCUACGGGAGGCAGCAGUGAGGAAUAUUGGUCAAUGGGCGGAAGCCUGAACCAGCCAUGCCGCGUGCGGGAAGGAGGCCCUAUGGGCUGUGAACCGCUUUUGCCUGGGGGCAAUAAGGGCGUCGCGCACGUCCGAUGAGAGUACCAGGCGAAUAAGCAUCGGCUAACUCCGUGCCAGCAGCCGCGGUAAUACGGGGGAUGCGAGCGUUAUCCGGAUUCAUUGGGUUUAAAGGGUGCGUAGGCUGUGCGUCAAGUCGGGGGUGAAAUUCCGGUGCUCAACACCAGGGCUGCCCUUGAUACUGUCGCGCUGGAGUGCGGAUGCCGCCGGAGGAAUGAGUGGUGUAGCGGUGAAAUGCUUAGAUAUCACUCAGAACACCGAUUGCGAAGGCAUCUGGCGAAUCCGUAACUGACGCUGAGGCACGAAAGCGUGGGGAUAGAACAGGAUUAGAUACCCUGGUAUUCCACGCCGUAAACGAUGAUGGCUAACCGCCGGCGACACACUGUCGGUGGCCAAGCGAAAGCGAUAAGCCAUCCACCUGGGGAGUACGUCGGCAACGAUGAAACUCAAAGGAAUUGACGGGGGCCC
rnacentral:rRNA from 1 species